GGGGAUAUGGCUCAGUUGGUAGAGUGCCUGCCUUGCAUGCACAAACCAUGGGUUCAAUCCUCAUCACCACCC
rnacentral:tRNA from 1 species